CUUUAGUCUAUUGAAAUUCGCGGCUAAAUUCCCUUUGGAACGCAAACAUGCGUUCCACACCUUCAUUACCAUAUUCCCAACCUCGUGGAUGCGGUGACAUCACUUCUGGGUUCCGUUCCAAGUGGGGACGUGUAUUUCCGGUCACGUGAAUAUGAUAUCGUCACUUCCGGGUUCCGUUCUAAGUGGAACGCGGAAUGCGUUCCACUUCAAAUGUUGUCUGUUUUUUCCUAUUCUCAUAUAUAAAUGGAACGCAAAAUAUGCGUUCCA